ACCCCACUAUUGGCCCCCAAGAAAAACUCUAAGCACUACAGUUUUAAAACUAAAACUUAAAUAACAUGGCGGCGAGCUUAAAUUUCAGAGGAACCUACCAGAUAAAUGAUAACCCGCAAUACAUUCUUACUUCACCUAAAAGUUUAUAUAUCGCCGUCUAGUAAUCUUUCCAGAAGGCUACAAAAUGUUAACUACAAAAAGACAGGCCAUGACAUAGCGUAUGAUGGAGACAUAAGGUGGGUUACAAUAAGUAAUUCUUUCGGAAAUACACCUAAAGAUGUAAACCAAGAUGGAUUUGAAAGUAACUGGUUAAAAUAAAUAUACAGUGAAUCUUUCUAAGUUCGUGUACACACCG
rnacentral:rRNA from 1 species